rnacentral:rRNA from 1 species
AUUGAACGCUGGCGGCAUGCCUUACACAUGCAAGUCGAACGGCAGCACGGGUGCUUGCACCUGGUGGCGAGUGGCGAACGGGUGAGUAAUAUAUCGGAACGUACCUUAUUGUGGGGGAUAACGCAGCGAAAGCUGUGCUAAUACCGCAUAAUCCCUAAGGGGGAAAGCGGGGGACCGUAAGGCCUCGCGCAAUUAGAGCGGCCGAUACCUGAUUAGCUAGUUGGUGAGGUAAAGGCUCACCAAGGCAACGAUCAGUAGCUGGUCUGAGAGGACGAUCAGCCACACUGGGACUGAGACACGGCCCAGACUCCUACGGGAGGCAGCAGUGGGGAAUUUUGGACAAUGGGGGCAACCCUGAUCCAGCAAUGCCGCGUGAGUGAAGAAGGCCUUCGGGUUGUAAAGCUCUUUUGUCAGGGAAGAAACAGCAGCUCUAACACAGUUUGCGAAUGACGGUACCUGAAGAAUAAGCACCGGCUAACUACGUGCCAGCCGCCGCCGUAAGAC